UUCUUAUCCAGAGAGGUAGAGGGACUGGCCCGAUGAAACCUCAGCAACAGGUCAGAUGACACUGUGCUAAUUCCUGCGGGUGGUGAACCCUGAUCGAUAAGAG
rnacentral:ncRNA from 2 species